rnacentral:rRNA from 1 species
AAGCGCUUAUGACCAGACUUGGACUUGGUUGAUCAUCCUGGGUUCUCCCUGGUGCACUCUUCCAGUUCAGGCCAGCAUCAGUUCAUCGCGGGGGAUAAAGGCUUUGGGAACGUAGCUCCUCGGAGUGUUAUAGACCAUUGCAUAAUACCCUGGGCCGGACUGAGGUUCGCGCAUCUGCAAGGAUGCUGGCGUAAUGGUCAUCAGCGA